rnacentral:rRNA from 1 species
CCCUUAGAUGUUCUGGGCCGCACGCGCGCUACACUGACGAAUGCAACGAGCUUAUAACCUUGGCCGAAAGGUCUGGGUAAUCUCCAAAUUUCGUCGUGAUGGGGAUAGAUUAUUGCAAUUAUUAAUCUUCAACGAGGAAUUCCUAGUAAGCGCGAGUCAUCAGCUCGCGUUGAUUACGUCCCUGCCCUUUGUACACACCGCCCGUCGCUCCUACCGAUUGAAUGGUCCGGUGAAAUGUUCGGAUCGCGGCAAAUCGGACGGGUAACCGUCAGGUUCGCUGCGAGAAGUUCAUUAAACCUUAUCAUUUAGAGGAAGGAGAAGUCGUANCA